CCGGUAGGAUGAGAUAGAUUUAUUUAUAUAUUUUAUAUUAUUUUUUUAAUAAGUGAAUCCAACAUGUAAAAUUUUUAAUAAUAAAGUUAAAGAGUGCAGGUUCGAACUCAAGACCUCUGCUCUGAUAACAUAUCAAACAAGUAGAAUAUUUGAGGAAGAAAAGAAAGAUUUUUUUUUUUCGUAUAUUACACCAUAUGUUACAAGGCUAUAUAUAUACAUCAAUUGUGGGAUGAGGAUGAGAUGCAGGAUAAGGAUGAAAGUUGCAGGAUAAGGAUGAAAUGCAAAACUACUUUCUUGGAGAAGUUUCAUCCAAAUUUUUAUAUGCUCGAAACGUACUCUGGUCCCAUUUUGGACUGCACGAGAGUUGAUUAAACUUCUUAGCUU
rnacentral:lncRNA from 1 species